rnacentral:tRNA from 1 species
GCCGGGGUGGCCGAGCAUGGCAAGGCAAUCGGUUAUCGACCGAUGUACCUGCUAGGGGUAACGCGGGUUCGAAUCCCGUCCCCGGCA